rnacentral:rRNA from 1 species
GGGGUGCGGGAGCUAUACAUGCAGUCGAGCGAAUGGAUUAAGAGCUUGCUCUUAUGAAGUUAGCGGCGGACGGGUGAGUAACACGUGGGUAACAUGCCCAUAAGACUGGGAUAACUCCGGGAAACCGGGGCUAAUACCGGAUAACAUUUUGAACUGCAUGGUUCGAAAUUGAAAGGCGGCUUCGGCUGUCACUUAUGGAUGGACCCGCGUCGCAUUAGCUAGUUGGUGAGGUAACGGCUCACCAAGGCAACGAUGCGUAGCCGACCUGAGAGGGUGAUCGGCCACACUGGGACUGAGACACGGCCCAGACUCAUACGGGAGGCAGCAGUAGGGAAUCUUCCGCAAUGGACGAAAGUCUGACGGAGCAACGCCGCGUGAGUGAUGAAGGCUUUCGGGUCGAAAAACUCUGUUGUUAGGGAAGAACAAGUGCUAGUUGAAUAAGCUGGCACCUUGACGGUACCUAACCAGAACGCCACGGCUAAAUACGUGCCAGGAGCCGAGUUAAUAAAUAAGGAGAACUCUCGAAUUAUGAACUCAGGGAAGUAACC